rnacentral:misc_RNA from 1 species
UUUAAAUGGCAGUAUACAAAACAUUUCGCCCAACUAGACGGAGUUGUGUCUUUAAAAUAGUUGGAUAUAAAAAAGCUGCAAAUGGAAGCAUUAGUUUGACAUCUCAAAAAUUGUAAAAAUGCCAAAUAGUUUGAAUAAUGUGUCAAGAAUUUUUUAGGUUUACCUGAUGCUUCCGUAAGUAUGUGACUAUUUGCGAAGAGGAAUAUGUAAAGUAAGUGAAGACAGAAGUUGUUAAAGAAAAUUCGAAGGCAAGGCGAGGAAGGUGAUCGUGAAGGAGCGCGGAGACCGCUUCUAGGAAUUGGCCGAUGAUUUCGGUUGAGCCAGAGCAAGCUACAGAGCGACUGAAAAAAAUGGGCCACCGCUCCAAAUUUGUAAGUCCCGCUUCCGGGCGACUGAACGAGCCGCUCCCAAAAUAAGGCUCAUGAGAAUCAGGGAAUUCCACUCCCACGUUCUCUCGACGCUGUGAUGCCGCGCGAGGGUAUGGCACGUUGCCAAUCUGACGUCAAAACUCUUCUUUCGUUAUCUUGUCCUUAUUUCGCGUUUCGCCUGAUCUCUUAGGCCUAGACGUUGAACAACAAUUUCUAUUCGCCGUGGCAACGUUCUCCCUUUAAAGCGUUACAUCUGCUGGCAAGUUUUAUCAUCUUCUCGAUUCACACUUUCUCGAAAUCUUCACUCGGAACCUCUAUCGACCUGAUUUUUAUUAUCUUGAUCUGAAAAGCAAAAGUAAUUCAAGUAUGAGUAAAGCGAAGAUGCUAAGUACGCGUACUCGUCGAUACAUUGCGGAUGUUUCUGAAAAUUCAUUUUUAUAAACGCAG